rnacentral:rRNA from 1 species
CAAUAAGCGGAGGAAAAGAAACCAACAGGGAUUGCCCCAGUUAACGGCGAAGUGAAGCGGCAACAGCUCAAAUUUGAAAUCUGGCCUCGUGCCCGAGUUGUAAUUUGUAGAGGAKGCUUUUGGCGACGCGCCUUCCGAGUUCCCUGGAACGGGACGCCAUAGAGGGUGAGAGCCCCGUCCGGUCGUGCGCCUAGCCUCUGUAAAGCUCCUUCGACGAGUCGAGUAGUUUGGGAAUGCUGCUCUAAAUGGGAGGUAUACGUCUUCUAAAGCUAAAUACCGGCCAGAGACCGAUAGCGCACAAGUAGAGUGAUCGAAAGAUGAAAAGCACUUUGAAAAGAGGGUUAAAUAGUACGUGAAAUUGCUGAAAGGGAAGCGCUUAUGACCAGACUUGGGCGCGGCGGAUCAUCCGGCGUUCUCGCCGGUGCACUCCACCGCCCCAGGCCAGCAUCAGUUCGCGCCGGGGGACAAAGGCUUCGGGAAUGUGGCUCCCUCGGGAGUGUUAUAGCCCGCUGCGUAAUACCCUGGCGCGGACUGAGGUCCGCGCUCUGCAAGGAUGCUGGCGUAAUGGUCAUCAGUGACCCGUCUUGAAACACGGACCAAGGAGUCGUCUUCGUAUGCGAGUGUUCGGGUGUCAAACCCCUACGCGGAAUGAAAGUGAACGUAGGAGAGAGCUUCGGCGCAUCUCCGACCGAUCCUGAUGUUCUCGGAUGGAUUUGAGUAAGAGCAUACGGGGCCGGACCCGAAAGAAGGUGAACUAUGCCUGUGUAGGGUGAAGCCAGAGGAAACUCUGGUGGAGGCUCGCAGCGGUUUCUGACGUGCAAAUCGAUCGUCAAACAUGGGCAUGGGGGGCGAAAGACUAAUCGAACCUUCUAGUAGCUGGUUCCGC